rnacentral:rRNA from 1 species
CCUACGGGAGGCUGCAGUGGGGAAUAUUGGACAAUGGGGGCAACCCUGAUCCAGCCAUGCCGCGUGUGUGAAGAAGGCCCUCGGGUUGUAAAGCACUUUCAGUGAGGAAGAACGCCUGGUGGUUAAUACCCAUCAGGAAAGACAUCACUCACAGAAGAAGCACCGGCUAACUCCGUGCCAGCAGCCGCGGUAAUACGGAGGGUGCGAGCGAUAAUCGGAAUUACUGGGCGUAAAGCGCGCGUAGGUGGCUUGAUAAGCCGGUUGUGAAAGCCCCGGGCUCAACCUGGGAACGGCAUCCGGAACUGUCAAGCUAGAGUGCAGGAGAGGAAGGUAGAAUUCCCGGUGUAGCGGUGAAAUGCGUAGAGAUCGGGAGGAAUACCAGUGGCGAAGGCGGCCUUCUGGACUGACACUGACACUGAGGUGCGAAAGCGUGGGUAGCAAACAGGAUUAGAUACCCGGGUAGUC